rnacentral:rRNA from 1 species
CGGGGUGAGUAAUGCCUAGGAAUCUGCCUGGUAGUGGGGGACAACGUUUCGAAAGGAACGCUAAUACCGCAUACGUCCUACGGGAGAAAGCAGGGGACCUUCGGGCCUUGCGCUAUCAGAUGAGCCUAGGUCGGAUUAGCUAGUUGGUGAGGUAAUGGCUCACCAAGGCGACGAUCCGUAACUGGUCUGAGAGGAUGAUCAGUCACACUGGAACUGAGACACGGUCCAGACUCCUACGGGAGGCAGCAGCU